UAAAGUAUACUGACAAUUGCACAAACUGACUAGCAGUCUUGUUCACGAAGGGAAGUAGUGUUUGAUUAUACAUAUCUUGAUCACCUUCCCCAGCACUGCACAAGCUUAACUUUUAGUCUUUCCAUGGCUACAACAACGUCCCAUUUUACAACCUUUGAUCCUCCUGUGAUUCGCUUUCCUAGCCGUGGCAAACCAAUUUUCUCGUCCUUCUACCCUCGGCACCAUCUUAAACCGACAGGACGUGCUUCAUUUCCAUUGCUGAGGACAACAAAGGGUCAACACUCUCAUCUUACUUGGUGCAUGCAGCAGACAAUAGCUGUACCUGUCACCACAGAGUUAUGGGAAAAUUUGAUCCUGAACAGUGAAACCCCUGUCCUUGUGGAGUUCUAUGCCAGUUGGUGUAGCCCAUGUAAGAUGCUGCUCCAGGUGAUUGAUGAGAUUGCAUCGGAGUAUGCUGGGAGACUCAAAUGCUUUUCGCUCAACACAGACUCUGAUUUGCAAAUUGCUCAGGACUAUGAAGUUAAGGCAGUGCCUAUGGUUUUGUUGUUCAAAAAUGGUCAGAAAUGUGAUUCCGUGAUUGGGACCAUGCCAAAGAAGUUUUAUGUGGCUGCCAUUGAGAGGGUUCUGAAGUCCUAACACAAAGCUUACUGCAGGCAGCUUCCCAGCAAAGUGGACCAAUAUGUGCUCUUUCAUGUCAUGAGAGUUGGUACAAUAGUUGGUGGGAGCUUAAUCUCAUCUUUUGCUGCAUCAAUUUGGCCUCCAUCUGAUGGGAAAUAUGUGUUUAGAUGGUACAUAAAUUGCAUCACAAGCUUCCUUGAGAUAAGUUGUGUAUGCUUAUUUGGUUUUACAUCAGAAACCACCAAAACAGUCCUGUUUCCACCAAAAUUCAAAACCAUGUUGCUUUUAAUGGCUUUUUAACCCAAAAAAAAAAAAAAAACAAAGCACAUAGUUAUCCAUUGCAUUUUAGGAUAUAUUCAAUGGUUAUUGAAUUCAUCUCACAUGGCUGAUCCAUAUAUUAAAAGCUAUGAAAUGGUGAAUUUAAGGAAGUUACCUUGCAAGUCACAUCAUUUUAUAAUUCAAACAAAGAAAGGGAAUCAAAGGGGGA